rnacentral:lncRNA from 1 species
GGCCAGAACAACUGAAAGGCUGGGAGCUGUCCUGCUGUCUUCUUUGUCCUUGCUGCCAUGUCUCAUGAUAUGGGUGAACUCUGUGUGGGUGAAGUUGCCUUUCUUACGAAGGGGUGCCUCGUACUACAUCUUGUCCCCUCUUUGUGUCGGAAGCUGUUGCCCAUGGUAACAAGUGUCUCUUUUAGGACAGUCCUUGUGGAUGAAACCUGAGGCCUUCCUCAUCAAAACAGGGGAAGCUGUUGGGGAUCAUGUACCGACUGCACGCCUGCUUAGCUUGUCCGAAGAAAGUAACAUGGAGAGGCUGGCGGCCCUGAGGCUUCACUGAUCAUGCCCUCCAGCUGCUCCUCCACCGUGUUCGUCCCUAGAGAGGCAAAUGUGGCUUCCCUUCAGAAUUCGUUUGAGGAGUAUUCUAGAAGACUAUCUCACCUCUAUUUUUCGUCAGAAAACACAGAGAAAAAAAUGAAAAGAGUUUCCUCGUUUAGUCCUCUGACAACCUCCAUUAGACAGACAACACCACUGAGCAGAGGCCUGGGAACCUGGGCAUCCUUCUGAGUUGUGCAAGUGCUGAGCCCAACACUCUGACUCUGCGUAUGACCCAGCUGCGCGUGCUCCAGUGGUUGCCUCCAGUGCCGUGCGCUGCAGGAACUACAGAGCUCUGGCCAUCCUCAUGGGGAACACAGGCUGGCUUGGAACAGGAUAUGUGUGAACUGUGCUACCCCCAACCCCCAGUUAUAGCAAUACAAACAUUACCUGCACUCUGAGGAAGUUCCUGCCCCCACCUCUUCUCUACUCUCCAUGAGUUAGUGAAACAAAUGUCAUUCGUCUUCCUCUCGUCCUUCAGAGGCAGGCCCUCAGUGCUGAUUUUCGGAAAGAGAAAAUGUUGACACCCCAAAAAGAGGCCUGGCUGGGACCAAGGAAGGGAGGCAGAAAGCUGGCGCCGCCUAGAGGACGAACUUGGCAAGAGGUACUAUGGUUGAAAUGUGAAUGGCCCCCACAGAGUCUCAUGUUUUACUAAUUGGUUUCUAGCUGGUGAUAUAUUUUGGAAAGUUGUAGAACCACACUGGUGUCGGGCAUUUGAGGUCUUCUGGUCUGGCCCGAAUUCCUUCCAACCCUCUGUUUCCUGAUCUGCAGGGAUGUGAGCGAGCGGAAGCAGCUUGCUCCCGUGUCCCAAGGAUGCCUGCCACCCUGCCUUCCCCACUGUGACAGGCUGUAUCCCUCAAGCCAUUAGCUAAAAUAAAC